GAUGAACGCUGGCGGCGCGCCUAAAACAUGCAAGUCGAGCGGCAGCACGGUCUUCGGACUGGUGGCGAGCGGCGGACGGCUGAGUAACACGUAGGAACAUACCCCGAAGUGAGGGAUAACUGCUCGAAAGAGUAGCUAAUACCGCAUGUGAUCUAAGGAUUAAAGCUUUAUGCGCUUUGGGAAUGGCCUGCGUCUGAUUAGUUUGUUGGUGAGGUAAUGGCUCACCAAGACUACGAUCAGUAGCGGGUCUGAGAGGAUGAUCAGCCAGACUGGGACUGAGACACGGCCCAGACUCCUACGGGAGGCAGCAGUUAGGAAUUUUCCACAAUGGGCGAAAGCCUGAUGGAGCAACGCCGCGUGCAGGAUGAAUGCCUUCGGGUUGUAAACUGCUUUUAUAUGUGACGAAUAUGACGGUAGCAUAUGAAUAAGGAUCGGCUAACUCCGUGCCAGCCGCCGCCGUAA
rnacentral:rRNA from 1 species